rnacentral:rRNA from 1 species
UACAGAGGUCUCAAGCGUUGUUCGGAUUCAUUGGGCGUAAAGGGUGCGUAGGCGGCGCGGUAAGUCGGGUGUGAAAUCUCGGAGCUUAACUCCGAAACUGCAUUCGAUACUGCCGUGCUUGAGGACUGGAGAGGAGACUGGAAUUUACGGUGUAGCGGUGAAAUGCGUAGAUAUCAGGAGGAACACCGAUGGCGAAGGCAGGUCUCUGGGCCAUAACUGACGCUGAGAAGCGAAAGCAUGGGGAGCGAACAGG